rnacentral:rRNA from 1 species
AGCUUGCUCCCUUAGGUCAGCGGCGGACGGGUGAGUAACACGUGGGUAACCUGCCUGUAAGACUGGGAUAACUCCGGGAAACCGGGGCUAAUACCGGAUGCUUGAUUGAACCGCAUGGUUCAAUNAUAAAAGGUGGCUUUCAGCUACCACUUGCAGAUGGACCCGCGGCGCAUUAGCUAGUUGGUGAGGUAACGGCUCACCAAGGCGACGAUGCGUAGCCGACCUGAGAGGGUGAUCGGCCACACUGGGACUGAGACACGGCCCAGACUCCUACGGGAGGCAGCAGUAGGGAAUCUUCCGCAAUGGACGAAAGUCUGACGGAGCAACGCCGCGUGAGUGAUGAAGGUUUUCGGAUCGUAAAACUCUGUUGUUAGGGAAGAACAAGUACCGUUCGAAUAGGGCGGCACCUUGACGGUACCUAACCUUAAAGCCACGGCUAACUACGUGCCAUCAGCCGCGGUAAUACGUAGGUGGCAAAGCGUUGUUCGGAAUUAUUGGGCGUAAAGCGCGCGCAUGCUGGUUUCUUAAGUCUGAUGUGAAAGUCGGG